ACAAGGAGCCCCCUGUCACCUUCUUUUAAAACAGAUCUUUCUGUCUCUGUCUUCAUUUCUCCAUUCAUCCCCCUUCAUUCAAUCCUGUAGCAACUGGCAGUGACAAGUGGUGCCCAGGACAGGGACAUGAGCAAAGAAGGUCUGCUGGAGCAGAGAAAGUGAAACUGACCAGAUGAGCAAGAAACCUUGGGACAAGUCUACUGGCAGCUAAUAUAACCAUGGAUCCCAACCAUGGGCCCAGCUCCUCCAAUAUGAGCCAUGAGCCAGUUGAAUCUGAAUGCAAAGACAUGGGGACAGAUCAAGAAAACCACACAAAAAGCUGAGAAACUGCUAGAGCAUCAGGUCUUCAAAAUCAGGUGGACCACCAAAUGGCAAUUGAGAGCUGCAGAACCUGCAAUUACCUUUAUUCAAUUAAUGAAAAAACAAAAAGAGGGAGAUGUUACAGGCCAAAAGAAUGAGGGUCGUGACCAACUCAGCAUACCACUGGAGGCUAUAUGAGCAAACAGAAAACUGUUCUCAUGAAAGCAGGAUGUUGGAAAACUGAUGACUAUGUCUGCCCCCAGAAGGAGUGCUGAGGGCAAUCACACCCCAAGCACAGUGUUCCUUGUGAUUAUCUGUAGGAAUAUCUGAAGCCUGUUGUACAAAGAAAGAAAUUAUGUGUACCUGUGAUAAAUCAAGCAGCUGACCAACCAUUACCUCUUCCUCCCUGCUCUUUUCACCUAAUAAAUAUGAAGGGCUGUAGAAGCUCAAAGCCUUUGUUCACUAGAAGCAAGGAGCCCCUGACACCUUCUUUUAAAACAGAUGCACAUACCAAGGUUACCAGCACUCGGGGAAGCAAGGACGGAAGAAGAAAAGAGGAUGCUCUUUCUCCCUCAUGUACCCCAGGUAUCUGCUAGAAAGAGAAGAGAACUAGGGACACCUGCCACCCUCUUCCUA
rnacentral:lncRNA from 1 species